UACGGGGGGAGCAAGCGUUGUUCGGAUUUACUGGGCGUAAAGGGCGCGUAGGCGGUCAGCACAAGUCAGUUGUGAAAUCUCCGGGCUUAACUCGGAAAGGUCAACUGAUACUGUGCGACUAGAGUGCAGAAGGGGCAACUGGAAUUCUCGGUGUAGCGGUGAAAUGCGUAGAUAUCGAGAGGAACACCUGCGGCGAAGGCGGGUUGCUGGGCUGACACUGACGCUGAUGCGCGGAAGCCAGGGGAGCAAACGGG
rnacentral:rRNA from 1 species